UAAAGUACUUAAUUAUUGAUUUCUAUAUUUGUACUGUGCUUUAUUGAUGGUUAAAGGCCUACAGGUCAUUUCUAGGUUCGAAAUGACUCGUUAUAAUUUCCGAUAACUAUAACAGUGCUGCCAAAGUACGAAAGUACAGUCGGUAUCUUGAAGUUCUUUCGGGUUAUUUACAGGUGUCUUUUUAGUGAUAGACACAUGGAUGGAUACAAACGAUUAGACGUUUAGUUUCAAUAAUUGGCUUGUGAUGCUUAUGUUAUGUUCACAUUCUCUUUCGAGAGUUGCACGGAUGAAUUCAAACUGCAUUUCAUAUUGUAAAAUGCUUUAAAUUGAAAUUACCCAACUCCAUGGUGUAAAAUCCACCUUUGAGAAGCUAAUAAAAUUAUGCUCAGGUAGUAAAACAAUUUCCAACCUUCAUGGCAUCAAAAACUUAA